AUGAGCGUUGCCUUUUUAAGCAUUGUUGAGAAAUCAUGCUCAAAUGAUCCCGAUGAGGCAAGAAACAUCACGGAAGGAAAAAAAAAAAAAAGACGCUUCUCAUUUGAGAACAGACAGAAAGUGCAGUGGGGACAACAUCUUUGGCCCAAAGCCGGCCUGAGCCCGCUGAGCCCAGCGAGGAUCUGUGGCUCAAAGCAAGAAACCAUGAGUUCGGUCCAGAGCUGGUUUUCUGGCUCUCCAAAGAAACAAGCUGAAGGCGGAGUCCCUCUUGUAGCCCACAGCCCCUCAGUCGGUGUGUUUCCCAUGAGACACGGCGAUCCUCAACACAAAUGUGCUGCAGAAGAAAGCAGAUCCCACAGACGCUGCUCAGUCCUGAGGAGUCUGGUUGAUCACCUUCUUCUUACGGAGGGAGACCAAGUCGUAGAAAGGAUCCCUGGUGACGCUCGCUCUGAUGGCUGUCAAUCCAGGAGUCCCUCUCCUCGGCGCUGGAGGCACAGAUGGUGUAGGACUGGUGCUUCCCCUCCACCACCCUCCCGUCUGUUUCUGUCUUGCAGGCUUUGAUCUUCUGGCCUCGACCGUUCGGGUUGUAGAGCUCUAAACAGUACUGAACGGCACCAGGCCACACACGUCUCAGUCAGUGUUCCAGCUCAUCCGUCUCUCAGACUCAGAACCGUCACAGCGCUCGCUGAGAGGAUCUCACCGGUUUGCGGGCGUACGGCACUUCCCUCACGAACAGGUUCUCCAGGGGGAUGAUGCCUCUCGGCUCCUUAUCCUGCAGACGGUUGGCAGAGAGAAGGACUGAGUCAGGACACAUGUUCCAGAGACAAGGCGGAACGGCUGGGAAUAAAAAUAUCACCGGCAUCGAGAAUAAAAGGGGAAGCAGAGGAGACUGAGAGUGUGAUCAGAAACUUAGGAGUGUUAAACACUGUCAAACACAAAGUGAAAUCAACAUGGAGACGUUUGAAAAGCCAGGCAACCAUAAAGAACAAUGAAGUCGUAUCCACAACAGCAGUGGGUCAACAGAAAGUGACACUAGUUAUAAAAUGAUUGAUAGGUCCUUAAAAUAAUAAAAAAAAAAACUUCUCUAUUCAGAAUAUGACUGAAA
rnacentral:lncRNA from 1 species